rnacentral:rRNA from 1 species
CGACUAAGCGUACACGGUGGAUGCCCUGGCAGUCAGAGGCGAUGAAGGGCGUGCUAAUCUGCGAUAAGCGCCGGUAAGGUGAUAUGAACCGUUAUAACCGGCGAUACCCGAAUGGGGAAACCCAGUGUGAUUCGUCACACUAUCAUUAACUGAAUCCAUAGGUUAAUGAGGCGAACCGGGGGAACUGAAACAUCUAAGUACCCCGAGGAAAAGAAAUCAACCGAGAUUCCCCCAGUAGCGGCGAGCGAACGGGGAGGAGCCCAGAGCCUGAAUCAGCAUGUGUGUUAGUGGAAGCGUCUGGAAAGGCGCGCGAUACAGGGUGACAGCCCCGUACACAAAAGCGCAUGUGCUGUGAGCUCGAUGAGUAGGGCGGGACACGUGGUAUCCUGUCUGAAUAUGGGGGGACCAUCCUCCAAGGCUAAAUACUCCUGACUGACCGAUAGUGAACCAGUACCGUGAGGGAAAGGCGAAAAGAACCCCGGCGAGGGGAGUGAAAAAGAACCUGAAACCGU